GGGGGAUAUUGCACAAUGGGGGAAACCCUGAUGCAGCAACGCCGCGUGAGGGAAGAAGGUUUUCGGAUUGUAAACCUCUGUCCUAGUUGAAGAAAAAAAUGACGGUAAACUAGGAGGAAGCUCCGGCUAACUACGUGCCAGCAGCCGCGGUAAUACGUAGGGAGCGAGCGUUGUCCGGAAUUACUGGGUGUAAAGGGUGCGUAGGCGGCUAUGCAAGUCAGGCGUGAAAUACACAGGCUUAACCUGUGGACUGCGUUUGAAACUGUGUAGCUUGAGUAGAGUAGAGGCAAGUGGAAUUCCCGGUGUAGCGGUGAAAUGCGUAGAGAUCGGGAGGAACACCAGUGGCGAAGGCGACUUGCUGGGCUCAAACUGACGCUGAGGCACGAAAGCAUGGGUAGCAAAC
rnacentral:rRNA from 1 species